rnacentral:rRNA from 1 species
UGGGGAAUAUUGCACAAUGGGCUCAAGCCUGAUGCAGCCAUGCCGCGUGUGUGAAGAAGGCCUUCGGGUUGUAAAGCACUUUCAGCGGGGAGGAAGGCGUUAAGGUUAAUAACCUUAUCAAUUGACGUUACCGACAGAAGAAGCACCGGCUAACUCCGUGCCAGCAGCCGCGGUAAUACGGAGGGUGCAAGCGUUAAUCGGAAUUACUGGGCGUAAAGCGCACGCAGGCGGUUGAUUGAGUCAGAUGUGAAAUCCCCGGGCUUAACCCGGGAAUUGCAUCUGAUACUGGUCAGCUAGAGUCUUGUAGAGGGGGGUAGAAUUCCAUGUGUAGCGGUGAAAUGCGUAGAGAUGUGGAGGAAUACCGGUGGCGAAGGCGGCCCCCUGGACAAAGACUGACGCUCAGGUGCGAAAGCGUGGGGAGCAAACAGG